AGACGGAGUCUCGCUCUGUCGCCCAGGCUGGAGUGCAGUGGGGCGAUCUCGGCUCACUGCAAGUUCAGCCUCCUGGGUUCACGCCAUUCUCCUGCCUCAGCCUCCCAAGUAGCUGGGACUACAGGCGCCCGCCACCACGCCCGGCUAAUUUUUUGUAUUUUUAGUAGAGACGGGGUUUCACCGUGUUAGCCAGGACGGUCUCCAUCUCUUGAUCUCGUGAUCUGCCUGCCUCGGCCUCCCAAAGUGCUGGGAUUACAGGCAUGAACCACUGCGCCCGGCCCAGAUUUCUUUUUAAAAGGCAGUUAGGGAUGGCAGUCUUAAACAAUGAGCUCCCCUAGUGCCCUUCCAAUGGAGAAGCACAACGAGCAUCUAAUUUGUAAAUACCAGGUCUUACACGGUGAGUGGGACUAGGAGAAGGCAUCGACUGCACGCUGGGGUCAGUUGCCUGGGAGCGAAUCCAGCUCCACUCCCUGCUGUGGCCUUGAGCAAGUAGCACUUAACCUCUCUGAGCCUCUUUCUGCAUCUGAAAAAUGGGAUUUGUCGUGACCCCACUCAUAAGGUUGCGAUGGGCAUGUGCCCCCUGAGAAACAUCAGUAAGGUGGCAAGGGUGGCGAAGACGCUGUUCCUCGGGUUUUGUUCCAACGACGAAAGCUAAGUUCAUCAAGCCACAAGAAGAAACCUCAGAUUUUUUUUCCCGCUAGGAAAUGUGAAAAUUGAAGGUUUCCUUUGAAGCCUUGUGGCAGAAGCUUCUGAAAGCCGAGUCACAGAUCUGGCACAGUGCUGUCCCAAACGCCGCUGAUGUGCAAACGGUGGCCCCCGUCCCCGUAGGGAGGCCAGAAUGGGACAGCAGAGAUUGCGGCAGGGUGUCCGGUGAGCAGGGGACCCUCACGGACGGGUCUAGACGCGAGACUAGGAUUUAUUUAUUAAUUCUUUCAACAGCGGCGGUGGAAUCAAGAUGGCCUAGAGGGCGCCAGGGGGCGCUCUGGAGAGGACGGACGGCAGAUCCGAAUGGGCCCCGAGGAGGGCGGCGCCCCGGGUCACCCGCGACUUCUGCGGAACCCGCCUUUGCUGCGCAGUUUUCGGGAUUCGCGGGAAGAAGGCGCAGCCUCCCAGGCCCAACUCUCUCCCCAGCACUUUCGCGUGGAAAAUCUUCAGGAAAAUGAAAUGUAGCUCCCCGUAUCCCCUCUCCCCAAAGAUGUAAAGGACUCUGGAGCGGGUGCGAGGAGCAGUUCCUGUUUCAUUACGAGCGCCCCCUCUCCAGCCCGGUCAUUGUAGUGCGAACCAGAACAGUCAAAUUAACAGAGGCACUCAGGAGCCUUUUAGUGCUACUGUUCCAGGAACUGAAGAGGCCUCGGUAUGGGAAUCCCCACAGAGUAAUAAACAGCACGUGGUUGGAGCGCCGAGGAGGAGACUCGCUCCACCUGGUGGCGGUGAUGUCCUCUCGCAGGAGGUGGCAGGACACAGAGGCUGGCGGCCACAGACGGGAUCUGUAAUUCAGUGCCCGCCAUCACGCACCUCGGCCUGGCCCUGUGCAGCUUGGAAGCUGGAGACGGAGAAGGUGGAAAAUGAGAGUUCAUGGAGUGUCGGGCCUAAGCUGAAGGAGGCGGCGCUGCACGCACAGACGAAGGAAGGCGGCCCAGGACGGCUGCUUGGUGUAGAGGCCACAGCCCAGCACGGGCGGGGCGGGGCGGAGCGGGAGGAUGGGCGGGAACGGCGCUGGGUGUUCCUGCUUCCUCCUCUAGCUCGCAGCCUUUCAUAGGAAAUUAAACAUUCAGCACCGGA
rnacentral:lncRNA from 1 species